rnacentral:rRNA from 1 species
UGGGGAAUAUUGCACAAUGGGGGAAACCCUGAUGCAGCGACGCCGCGUGAGCGAAGAAGUAUCUCGGUAUGUAAAGCUCUAUCAGCAGGGAAGAAAAUGACGGUACCUGACUAAGAAGCACCGGCUAAAUACGUGCCAGCAGCCGCGGUAAUACGUAUGGUGCAAGCGUUAUCCGGAUUUACUGGGUGUAAAGGGAGCGUAGACGGAGAAGCAAGUCUGGAGUGAAAGCCCGGGGCUCAACCCCGGGACUGCUUUGGAAACUGUUUGUCUUGAGUGCCGGAGAGGUAAGCGGAAUUCCUAGUGUAGCGGUGAAAUGCGUAGAUAUUAGGAGGAACACCAGUGGCGAAGGCGGCUUACUGGACGGCAACUGACGUUGAGGCUCGAAAGCGUGGGGAGCAAACA